ACACAUGCAAGUCGAACGGAGUUAUUUUGGCAGAAGCCUUCGGGUGGACGCUGAUAUAACUUAGUGGCGAACGGGUGAGUAACACGUGAGCAACCUGCCCUUCAGAGGGGGACAACAGUUGGAAACGACUGCUAAUACCGCAUAAGACCACGGUGUGGCAUCACACAGAGGUCAAAGGAGAAAUCCGCUGAAGGAUGGGCUCGCGUCCAAUUAGCUAGAUGGUGAGGUAACGGCCCACCAUGGCGACGAUUGGUAGCCGGACUGAGAGGUUGAUCGGCCACAUUGGGACUGAGACACGGCCCAGACUCCUACGGGAGGCAGCAGUGGGGAAUAUUGCACAAUGGAGGAAACUCUGAUGCAGCGACGCCGCGUGAGGGAAGAAGGUCUUCGGAUUGUAAACCUCUGUUGUCAGGGACGAUAAUGACGGUACCUGACGAGGAAGCCACGGCUAACUACGUGCCAGCAGCCGCGGUAAAACGUAGGUGGCAAGCGUUGUCCGGAAUUACUGGGUGUAAAGGGAGCGCAGGCGGGAGAGCAAGUUGGAAGUGAAAUCUGUGGGCUCAACUCACAAAUUGCUUUCAAAACUGUUUUUCUUGAGUGGUGUAGAGGUAGGCGGAAUUCCCGGUGUAGCGGUGGAAUGCGUAGAUAUCGGGAGGAACACCAGUGGCGAAGGCGGCCUACUGGGCACUAACUGACGCUGAGGCUCGAAAGCAUGGGUAGCAAACAGGAUUAGAUACCCUGGUAGUCCAUGCCGUAAACGAUGGUUACUAGGUGUGGGAGGAUUGACCCCUUCCGUGCCGCAGUUAACACAAUAAGUAAUCCACCUGGGG
rnacentral:rRNA from 1 species